GAUGAAGAACGUAGCGAAAUGCGAUACGUAGUGUGAAUUGCAGAAUUCAGUGAAUCAUCGAAUCUUUGAACGCACAUUGCGCCCUUUGGUAUUCCAAAGGGCAUGCCUGUUCGAGCGUCAUUUGUACCCUCAAGCUUUGCUUGGUGUUGGGCGUCUUGUCUCCAGUCCGCUGGAGACUCGCCUUAAAGUCAUUGGCAGCCGGCCUACUGGUUUCGGAGCGCAGCACAAGUCGCACUCUUUUCCAGCCAAGGUCAGUGUCCAACAAGCCUUUUUUCAACUUUUGACCUCGGAUCAGGUAGGAAUACCCGCUGAACUUAAGCAUAUCAAUAAGCGGAGGA
rnacentral:misc_RNA from 1 species